AGAAGUGUAAGCUAAACUAAGCUAGUGGGCUCAUACCUCAUUUAUAGAACUAUUUCUCUCUUCUA
rnacentral:tRNA from 1 species